UUCUUUUAUGUGCAUUAGCGGAUCCGGUUUUUGGUUUCCUUCCCUGCUGCGGCCGCAGCCUCUGACGGCGUCGCUGCCCAAAGCUGGGGAGCACUCCCAACUCCCCUCCCCAGAUCUUCAGACUCUUGACCGCUGGGAUGUAUGUGCUCUUUUCUGUUCCGCUUUGGAUCCUCUUUUCACUGACCCAGAACUUGGCUGGUUGCUUUUUAAACCAAGUUGCCCAGUCGUGGUAUAUUUCCUCCUCCAAUGAAGAGCUCAAGAGGAGUUUAUUCCUCGCUUUGGAGGAAGACCAGACAUCAGCUCCCAUGAUGCAAAGGGACGGGAAUCCGGGAUACUAGGGGAUCAAACAACAUGUGAUCUCUGCUGGCUUGCCACUUUCAUUCGUUAGCCGUUUCCCUGGGCAAACGGACCCCAGUGGCUCCCUGGAUUUGCUCGGCUGUAAAACUAACCAGAGAUCUUCGAUCAGCCAAGCCUUUCUGUUCCUGGUUUUAACGAGAGAUCAGCUAUUGACAGGAUAGAGGCAAGACCUGCCCGCCUGUGGGGCAGGAUCCGUAUCGGUGGGGAGAGGGGCGGGGCGGAGGGAUCGUAAACAAAACCAUUUCCGUUGAUAGCGCCUCAUCGCGCUGCGUUAGCAUCCCUGCGGCGGGUUGGCCGUGGCGUGCGAUCUGCUGAUGGCCUGUCCAGAAGUGGGUCCUGAUCUCGGCUGGGCCAGCAUCAGUCUGGAGCUUCUCUGGACGCUGCCGAGAUCGGCGCCUCGCUCGUUUCUAUGACACGGGAUCGGAAGCGGUGCCUGGCCUGCGUCAGCCGCGCCGAUCUGGGAAUUUCUGCAGACGAAGACGUCUUCCGAACAUCCUCUUUCCCCUUCGCGUCCGCCCAGAGGAGAGCAGGGCUUCACCAGCUGGGAUCUAGCCCCUGAUGCCUUUUUGUUUCCGUGGCAUCCUUCUGCGUUGGCCUUAUCUUAGCUCAGAGACCCACCUCCUACAUCAGCAUCUGUGUUGGAUUGCCUGGCUCAAGACAGCUACGGAUAUUUUCCCCCUCCAGAUAUCUGCCCAUCCUAUCGUCCCAGAUCCGGGCUCUUUGUACGAAGUCUGAUAUGAAUCGCUUAUUGCAGCCACGUGGGGUUUAGAGUCUCUAAGGCAGACGAAGCAGAGAGCUGGCUGUGUCGUAGCAGAGAAGGGGAUUUACUCUAGGUCCUAUUGGAAAAACAAACAAGCCCGGAUCCGGGACCCUUUUGAAAAGGAAAAGCGGCCCUCGUGCCAGACGUUGACCAAGCAACUUUUCCUGGCUAUGGACUCUCUAAAAAUUGCAGUGGAUUCUGGGAGGAAGGCUGGGGGAGCAGCCAGUUAAUAACACUGCCUUGGGUGGAUCAAGGUGUCACUUUCAAGGUGGAUUGGGCGCUUCCCCCCCAGGCAACGGUGGCGAUUCUGGAUUCCUCUGGGGGAAAGGCCGAGGACUUGGAUUCUGCUACCGUUAACGGCCCAGCGCCUGGAUCUCCCCCUUCAGGCUGCCAGCGAUUCGAUCUAUUUCUGCCUCCCAAGCAGCUGAAGUCUCUAACCGACCAAAAGAGCCAAGGAACCAAAUAUAGCUAAAGCCGCGGCGGAGGGUGGCCGGGGCGUGGGUGUCGUGACAGGGGACUCGUCCCUGAUCACGCUGGGUGUAUGGCCUCUGGCUCAGUGCAGCUGUUCCAUCCCCUGUAUAUAUCCUCUGUACAGCUGGAGACCCCAGGAUGUUCCUAAACCCCCGCGCCCAAAGCCGGGCUUGGCGAAGGGGGUCCCGCUCGGGCCUUUGAGUGAAUGUGCUACAGGAAUGAAAGUGGAAAUAAAAGGAGGAAAAAGUG